CGAGCGGCGAACGGGUGAGUAACACGUGGGUGAUCUGCCUCGCACUCUGGGAUAAGCCUGGGAAACUGGGUCUAAUACCGGAUAUGACCACUGGUCGCAUGGUUGGUGGUGGAAAGAUUUAUCGGUGCGAGAUGAGCCCGCGGCCUAUCAGCUUGUUGGUGGGGUAAUGGCCUACCAAGGCGACGACGGGUAGCCGGCCUGAGAGGGCGACCGGCCACACUGGGACUGAGACACGGCCCAAACUCCUACGGGAGGCAGCAGUGGGGAAUAUUGCACAAUGGGCGAAAGCCUGAUGCAGCGACGCCGCGUGAGGGAUGACGGCCUUCGGGUUGUAAACCUCUUUCGACAGGGACGAAGCCCAAGUGACGGUACCUGUAGAAGAAGCACCGGCCAACUACGUGCCAGCAGCCGCGGUAAUACGUAGGGUGCGAGCGUUGUCCGGAAUUACUGGGCGUAAAGAGCUUGUAGGCGGCUUGUCGCGUCGAUCGUGAAAACUCACAGCUCAACUGUGAGCUUGCGGUCGAUACGGGCAGGCUUGAGUACUGCAGGGGAGACUGGAAUUCUUGGUGUAGCGGUGAAAUGCGCAGAUAUCAGGAGGAACACCGGUGGCGAAGGCGGGUCUCUGGGCAGUAACUGACGCUGAGAAGCGAAAGCGUGGGUAGCGAACAGGAUUAGAUACCCUGGUAGUCCACGCCGUAAACGGUGGGUACUAGGUGUGGGUUUCCUUCCACGGGAUCCGUGCCGUAGCUAACGCAUUAAGUACCCCGCCUGGGGAGUACGGCCGCAAGGCUAAAACUCAAAGGAAUUGACGGGGGCCCGCACAAGCGGCGGAGCAUGUGGAUUAAUUCGAUGCAACGCGAAGAACCUUACCUGGGUUUGACAUACACCGGAAACCUGCAGAGAUGUAGGCCCCCUUGUGGUCGGUGUACAGGUGGUGCAUGGCUGUCGUCAGCUCGUGUCGUGAGAUGUUGGGUUAAGUCCCGCAACGAGCGCAACCCUUAUCUUAUGUUGCCAGCGCGUAAUGGCGGGGACUCGUGAGAGACUGCCGGGGUCAACUCGGAGGAAGGUGGGGACGACGUCAAGUCAUCAUGCCCCUUAUGUCCAGGGCUUCACACAUGCUACAAUGGCCGGUACAGAGGGCUGCGAUACCGUGAGGUGGAGCGAAUCCCUUAAAGCCGGUCUCAGUUCGGAUCGGGGUCUGCAACUCGACCCCGUGAAGUUGGAGUCGCUAGUAAUCGCAGAUC
rnacentral:rRNA from 1 species